UACGUAGGGCGCAAGCGUUAAUCGGAAUUACUGGGCGUAAAGCGUGCGCAGGCGGUUUUGUAAGUCUGUCGUGAAAUCCCCGGGCUCAACCUGGGAACUGCAUUUGUGACUGCAUCGCUGGAGUGCGGCAGAGGGGGAUGGAAUUCCGCGUGUAGCAGUGAAAUGCGUAGAGAUGUGGAGGAACACCGAUGGCGAAGGCAGCCCCCUGGGUCAAGAUUGACGCUCAUGCACGAAAGCGUGGGGAGCAAACAGG
rnacentral:rRNA from 1 species